rnacentral:rRNA from 1 species
GGUAGCAAUAUCUGUUCAGUGGCGAACGGGUGCGCAACACGUGGGCAACAUGCCUGGAAGAGCGGGAUAGCCCGGGGAAACUCGGAUUAAUACCGCAUGUGACAACGGGGCGGCUUCGCCCUGUUUUCAAAGGUGGGGACCGCAAGGCCUGCCGCUUCCAGAUUGGCCCGCGUCCUAUCAGCUAGUUGGCGGGGUAAAAGCCCACCAAGGCGACGACGGGUAGCUGGUCUGAGAGGACGACCAGCCACACUGGAACUGAGACACGGUCCAGACACCUACGGGUGGCAGCAGUCGAGAAUCUUUCACAAUGGGGGAAACCCUGAUGGAGCGACGCCGCGUGGAGGAUGACGGUCUUCGGAUUGUAAACUCCUGUCAUGAAAGAACAAGUGAUGCGGGUGAACAGCCCGCAAAGUUGAUAGUAUUUCAAGAGGAAGGGACGGCUAACUUCGUGCCAGCAGCCGCGGUAAUACGAAGGUCCCAAGCGUUGUUCGGAAUCACUGGGCGUAAAGAGUGCGUAGCGGCGCGGAAAGUCAGAUGUGAAAUCCCGGGGCUCAACCUCGGAACGGCAUCCGAUACUCCCGCGCUCGAG